CAUCUGUUUCUGACUGUAGUUGCUGGUCAAAUGGAUUGUCAACAAGGUGAGUAUUGUGGUGCCAUCUUAGACUAUGUUUACACAAGAUUCGAUUAAUAACAAGUUGCUGGAGUUAGACCAGAUUCCCAUCCUGAGCAGGACUCAUUUCUGGAGGUUUUUUAGGGCUACAUUCCAUCGUGUACACAAGUCUAGCUGCAAUAGAUAUGUAUAAGAUGUGGGUCUGAAGGAAUCUGAUAAAAUAAUAAAUUAUUGCGUCAGUUUUUUUUAUUCAAAGAUCAUAUUUCAUACAUUUCAUUUUUGUAAAGAUGUGCUCUUUUUUCUCUUUUGACUCAUUCCUUGACCCAAAAGGAAACCACUUCAGCUCACUCAAGAGUUGGGGAUUUAUGUGUUGUAUUUGCAUUUGCCUUCCCAUUCCAAGCACCCUAAUGGGGUUGUUAUUUUUUUUAACCUACCGGUCAUAUCUUGCUGGAAAAAAAACAAUCUAUUAAUUCUAAGGUACACAAAAAUGCUGGAGAAACUCAGCGGGUGCAGCAGCAUCUAUGGAGCGAAGGAAAUAGGUGACGUUUCGGGCCGAAACCCUUCUUCAGACCUAUUAAUUCUAAUGCUUUUGGUAUUGGAAUUGGUUUUGCUGGAUAAACAAACAGCAACAAUUGGAAGGAGUGGUGAGAGACUAAGUGUGAUCCUGGUGAUCUCAAGUGGAAGAAAUAAUGGAAAACCAGUGUGUUGCUGGGUGAAGGUGUUAAACCUUCCUCUGUUGGAGAUUUGAAUUUACAGCAUGCUGUUUUGGAGCAGAAUUCUCCAAGCAAAGGAUGAGACCAUUUGGCCCAUUGAGCCUAUGUUGGAUCUUUGAAAGUUACCCAACUUCCCAGCUGUUUCCUUACAGCCUUGGUUCAUCAAUGCAUGUUGUUUACAGGUUGCUUACCUCGGGAGAAAAUUUGACAUCAAAGAGUAGAAAUGAAUUUCUAAUUAUUUGAAGUACUAAUUGCUGUGAUGAUCCGGACCAUUACAAUUUGGGUCCUUUCCCACUUCACUUUCACAGCAGUGUACCCUAACCUUCAUUUAUAUACCCGUGGCCCACAAUUUACAGCCUUCUUUAUCCAUGAAGACUAGCUAGCUAUAAGAUUAACUAUCACUUGUCGAUCAUAGUGUUUUAGAAGUUCUCCUUCCCAUUCUGCAAUCCACCCAGAUGGAAGCUACCUCGCCAUUAACCAGUCUGUACAUUUUCAAAACUUGAUCUUUAGUCUUGCAGCAAAUCAACAAUAUAAUGCCUGGUUAGUUCAAUAAUUAAACUAUAAUGAAAAUUCAAGUCCUCUAUGUUAAAAAUGUGUUUAAAUAUCUUUAACUGAUCCUUUAGAGUGUACCAAGGAUGUUUUGGUUUAUUUUGUUUGUACAACACAGGAAUAACAUUCAUGAAAUUG